UACGUAGGGGGCUAGCGUUGUCCGGAAUCAUUGGGCGUAAAGAGCGCGUAGGCGGCCAGAUAAGUCCGGUGUGAAAGUCACAGGCUCAACCUGUGAAUGCCGCUGGAAACUGUCUGGCUAGAGUCCGGGAGGGGCGAGUGGAAUUCCUGGUGUAGCGGUGAAAUGCGUAGAUAUCGGAAGGAACACCGGUGGCGAAAGCGGCGCGCUGGGCCCCUUCUGACGCUGAGGCGCGAAAGCCAGGGGAGCAAACGGG
rnacentral:rRNA from 1 species